UUAGCAAAUUCACACAUGUGCCGGAACGUACUGUAGGGUGCCUGUUAAUAUCAGGUUGCGGUAUGGGGUACAUGGAGGCCUAAC
rnacentral:sRNA from 1 species